UACAGAGGUCUCAAGCGUUGUUCGGAUUCAUUGGGCGUAAAGGGUGUGUAGGUGGCGCCGUAAGUCGGGUGUGAAAUUUCGGAGCUUAACUCCGAAACUGCAUUCGAUACUGCGGUGCUUGAGGACUGGAGAGGAGACUGGAAUUCAUGGUGUAGCAGUGAAAUGCGUAGAGAUCAUGAGGAAGACCAGUGGCGAAGGCGGGUCUCUGGACAGUGACUGACGCUGAGAUGCGAAAGCGUGGGGAGCAAACAGG
rnacentral:rRNA from 1 species